rnacentral:rRNA from 1 species
GGGGAAUUUUGGACAAUGGGGGCAACCCUGAUCCAGCCAUGCCGCGUGCGGGAAGAAGGCCUUUGGGUUGUAAACCGCUUUUAGUCGGGAAGAAAAGAUCACUCUUAAUACGGGUGGUUCUUGACGGUACCGGCGGAAUAAGCACCGGCUAACUACGUGCCAGCAGCCGCGGUAAUACGUAGGGUGCGAGCGCUAAUCGGAAUUACUGGGCGUAAAGCGUGCGCAGGCGGUUCGUUAAGUUUGUCGUGAAAGCCCCGGGCUCAACCUGGGAAUGGCGAUGGAAACUGGCGGGCUUGAGUAUGGCAGAGGGGGGUGGAAUUCCGCGUGUAGCAGUGAAAUGCGUAGAGAUGCGGAGGAACACCGAUGGCGAAGGCAGCCCCCUGGGCCAAUACUGACGCUCAGGCACGAAAGCGUGGGGAGCAAAC